rnacentral:lncRNA from 1 species
CAGGGGACGGAUGGGGUGACAAGCGUCGGUGAGACUUUAACACGAGAACCCAUGGGUGUGGCUCCCAGAGGGCCCCAGGCCCUGUCCCGGGCCCCCGGGGCCAGCUCAACUCAGGUUUCCAAGGCAGGAGUGGAGGCCACUCUACCCGCCAGGGCGCAGGUGGACAGCGGCCAUCUGUGGGAGCUGGAGGUGAGAGUGAGCAUUCACAGUGGCCGGCGGGACACUGCAACGGGACCCACCCCAGGUAGAUGGACCCCCGGGGCUGGGGGGAGUGUGGACCUGUCAAAGGGACCAUCGGUGCGGUGCCAGGAAUCAGCUUUAGGAAAGGGGGGAGCCCUGCCUGAGGCCCUGUGGGGACGAACCCAGGGCCCUGCACGGAUGGCACAGAACACAAGGACCACCUUGGUCCUUGAGCACCAGGGUCCAGGGUGGCCAGCCUCAGGGGGCCAGAGCCGCCAUCACUGUGACUGUGCACCAGGGAUGAGCCCAGACGUCCCCUGUGACCCUGAGCCUGCUGCCAUGGUACGUCCUGGACACUCGGACAUCUGCUGAGGACUGAGCGUCAUCGUGCUGAGCGCUCUCACCGUGGAGAAUGUGGAGAGGACAGGGAGGACAGGGGAGGCCGCGGAGAGCGGAUCAGCACUAAGGGCUCACCAUCAGGUCUCCAGGAGGAGAGGCUGGCCUCUAGAGAUGGAAGAGUCCGAGGAGCCUGGGAGGAAGUCUGAGCCAGGGCUGGCGGGUCAAUACGGCGACCCUCAUGACCUUCCCGUCUAAAGACACGUAAAUGAUGUUGGAUAAACCAAAGGCGUGCCAACUGGCCUGCCUGCGGAGGCCCUCACUUCCUUGGGAGUGGAGGGGACGUUCCUCCCACACUGAAGUCAAACACGCGUGUCAAAAAUUGUGUUGACCCCCCAAAGAUGGGCAGUCCACCCUAGAACUCCCACGUGGGUGGAGUCAAAAGGGGCUAAGCCAGAUUUAACUAAUCCAUAGAAGGGGAAGGAAAGAUGCCAAAGGAGGUGGGCCAAACAGCCCGGACGGGUGGACACAGCAUGGUGGGGCAUCUCUGCCACAGCACCAAGUACCGCAGACGUCACGGGACCGAAGACACCAGUUAAAGGGCAGAGAUUCCAAGAACCGACCAGCCGGGCAGUUUGUAAGACGCACGGGACAAGUGCCCAGGGAAGGAUCUAGCAGGGCCUGGCCCAGCACGCUAGCCGGCGUCCCCGUAGACGGCCUCGAGGGUGGCAGGGGCAAUGUGCCCAGGAAGUACCCCGUCUUCAACCUGCUUCCUCCACAGCGCGUGGCCUAACCUGCAGCCACGCUGCCACAGCUACAAGGAGCAGCAGAGGAGUCGCGGGCACUCUGUGGCGCUGGCGCCGUCUGACCCCAUUAUUUGACAAUGUGGGACAAAGGUCACAGGUCUGGGGGGGCAUGCCCCUGCCCCUCAGGCCAGCUAAAGGUGGAACAGAGUCACUGAGGCCCAGCCUCCCCAGGAAAGAGGAGGACGGUUAGGCUGGAGGCUGGGGGUUGGGAAGGGGCUACCCUUACCCCCGCCCCCCGUCUGUGCCCCAAAUCGCUGGGCUCUCUCCUCGGGGCUCCCCUGGGGGACCACCCUGCUGGGAAGCCCAACUCCCCACCCGGGUCCCUGCCCCUCCUCGGGUAGCAUCGACCUGGGCCCUGACGGCUCCCUCACCCCCUUGCUCACCCACGCCCACCAUUCUCGCACACUCACACACCCUGCCUCCCCGUGUGCCACAUGGGCCGCUCGUGCCCUGCUCGGUGCUGAAGUCCAGGGGGGCAGGAGCCUGAACGAGGGCCAGACAUUGGCCAGGUCUGGUGUCGGGGCUCGUGGGUGGUGAGCCAGGCGGUGCCCCUGCCACUGCAAACCCCGCCCAGGGGCUCCUGGGACAGGGACCUGUGAUGACUGUGCCCAGCGCCUGCAGCCUCGGCCAGCCUGGCCAGGGGGCACGAGUGGGGACACGCGGGCUGCUGCUGCCCUCCCGGCCUGCAGGACCCGCCUGAGCAUGGGGAGGGCGCAUGCAGGCUGCUUGGCGUCUGCGGGCUUCCCGUGAAGCUCUCUGACACCCAAGGUACAGAGCGUCACAGAGUGACAGAAUGUGGCCAGAGGCCCUGAAAGGACGCCCACCCGCCCGCUGGCUGGCAUUCCUUACACUGCCACUCCUCACGCCCCACACCACAGGGGAAGCCGUUCCCCGCAUCUUUUGGGGGGGACAGGGUACCCUGGCGUGGACCCAGGGUGCUCUGCCACUGAGCCACACCUAUUCCUUACAUUUUUCAUUUCGGGACAGGGUCUUGCUAAGUUGCCCAGGCUGGCCUUAACCUGGGGAGCGUCCUGCCUCAGCCUCCCCUCCCUGGAAUGACGGACAUGGCCACCGCCCCGCGGUAAGGGCUGCUCCCUUCCAUCAACCUGAGGUCACACAGGGUACGGUUC